UACGUAGGGUGCAAGCGUUGUCCGGAAUUAUUGGGCGUAAAGAGCGUGUAGGCGGUCCGGUAAGUCGGGCUGUGAAAGUCCAGGGCUCAACCCUGGGAUGCCCGGUCGAUACUGCCGGACUAGAGUUCGGAAGAGGCGAGUGGAAUUCCCGGUGUAGCGGUGAAAUGCGCAGAUAUCGGGGAGGAACACCCUAUGGGCGAA
rnacentral:rRNA from 1 species